rnacentral:tRNA from 1 species
AGUUUCUUAGUAUUUAAGUACGAUUGCCUUCCAAGCAAGAAGUCUUUCUUUUAGAAAGGGAAAUUA